rnacentral:rRNA from 1 species
CCUACGGGAGGCAGCAGUGGGGGAUAUUGGACAAUGGGGGGGAACCCUGAUCCAGCGACGCCGCGUGAGUGAAGAAGUAUUUCGGUAUGUAAAGCUCUGUCAGCAGGGAAGAAAGCAAUGACGGUACCUGACCAAGAAGCCCCGGCUAACUACGUGCCAGCAGCCGCGGUAAUACGUAGGGGGCAAGCGUUAUCCGGAAUUACUGGGUGUAAAGGGCGCGUAGACGGCUGUGCAAGUCUGGAGUGAAAGGCGGGGGCCCAACCCCCGGACUGCUCUUGAAACUGUAUGGCUGGAGUGCAGGAGAGGUAAGCGGAAUUCCUAGUGUAGCGGUGAAAUGUGUAGAUAUUAGGAGGAACACCAGUGGCGAAGGCGGCUUACUGGACUGUAACUGACGUUGAGGCUCGAAAGCGUGGGGAGCAAACAGGAUUAGAUACCCGAGUAGUC